CGUCACCGUCACGGUUGCCAGCAGCAAAUCCUUGCUGAGAGCUGCGCAGCCGCCCUGCGCAUCCGUCGGCUGAGCUGAGGUGGUCAGCGCAGCCAUUUCCGUGCCCCUCACGGAAAAACAUGCAGGGGGUGGCAUUUGUCCAUCACGCGCACAGCUAAAUCAGUCAUGACUUUGGCUGCACGACUUCACGCUGAAGUCUGCAUCAUCGAUUAACAGCCGAGAUCUCCAAACUUUCUCCUCAAUUCAACGCCUGCGCAGACAAUACAAGCUCUCUCUCUUCAGCUCCUGCUCCUUUUUCCUUUUUUUUUUGAUUCCGUGUCAGCCAUGGAGGGAGAUCUGCAAGGAGGCAGCAACCACGUCGCAGCGCUGCAUGUGAAAACUGAAGCGGUGGAUGAAAAUGCAUCUGCGCUGGUUUUGGGCAGGCAGGAGUCGCCUGCGCCCUGCGGAGAUACCGCAUGCAGAGGAGGAGGAGGAGGGGAACAGACUGCAGAGGAGCUGGCUGACACAGAGCUGCAAGCUGCCACGACAACUACUCCUGUACUACUGUACCCUGUUAGCACAGAGCGGUUCUUCACCACAUCUGGGGAUGGAAAAACAUACCUGAAGAUAGCUCCAGCUUCAGUAAUGCCCCCUGCUCCUUCCGAGAAGACGCUUUGCUCUGGCUCGGAUUUCUCUUCCAAAGCCGUUCUGUGUCUGAUUGAGGCCGUCGGGCGUCGCUGGGGUCUCUAUGAGACUCGGGAACGCUCGCAGCUCUUCCAGAGUGUCCAAGAGGAGAUGGCCUCCAAGGGGCACAUACUGCCUGUUGAGAAAAUCCGUCGCAAGUGGAACAACCUCAUUGUGACAUACAAGAGGGUUAAAGACCGCAGCCGGGAGACGGGACAUGCUAAGACGUCUUGGGAGUUCUUUGAUUUGAUGGACGCCACCCUCUGCGACACCAUUGGCACUCAGAUCGUCAACAACAAACGAAACAAAGGCGGCAGCACGGUUUCUACACUGCCUGCUCCUUUGGCUAAGAUCGCUGCAAAGCCCCUGCAGCUUCCACAGCCGACAUCCACCAUCAUCCGUCCUAGCAGUGACUUCGCUGCUGUUGCUGGUGGUGGUGGUGUGGACUCAGUAGGUCUGGGCUCCAGUGCUGGCAGCGCUGCCAGUACGUCGGUGACUGCAGCGACCAUUAGCUCAACUAAUGCUCCAGACCUCAAGCCCCUGAUCGUCCUCAAUGAAACAGCCACCACAUCCCCUUCCCUCAUCUCCGCCAGUAACACAGACCUCAACACACUGGGCUACACGAGCCGCAAAGCUCCAUCCAUCUCAUCAGGUGUCAUCCCUUUUCGCCUGAGUACAACAUCGCUCACCCAAAGCCAGAAUCUCCUCGGCCUCUCCUCUUCAUUCCCCCUCACGUCCUCCUGCCUCACUUCCUCUGCUGCCACCUCUUUGUCUACAACAACUGUGUCUGGAACUGAAGGACAGAACCAGAAGGCGAAAGCGGAGCAAGGCGGCUCCACUUUGUUCCAAGAGAUUCUGAAGCGACAGGAGGAGCAGGCCUACCUCGAUCGAGUGGCUCGCCGCAGGGUUGAAGCCAGAGAGAAGAGGCGGGAGAGGAGGGAGGUGCGAAUGUCCGAGUCCCUAGGAAGGAUAGCCACGGCCCUGGAGCUGCUCUCCUCCAAACAGGACACAGUCAUCGCCCUCCUACAGAGGCUGGCUGAUCGGAAAUAAUCUACGGUGAAAGCCUGGAAAGUAGAAUCUCCUGACCUUGUUUUUUUUUUUCCCACCUGAGAUCCUCCUUAUGAAGCUCUCAUGCACUAUAAUGCUACUUUAAUGAGCAUAAUUUAAUAUAAAUGCGAAUUUGACGAACUCCUAAGUAAAUAACAGAUAAACACAAAGGUAAGUCAUUGUUCCGUGCUUUUAAAUUGUUGUGCAUUGUAAAUAUGUUAGUUUGCUUCACUAACAUCAAAUAAAAAGAUUCUUUGGAUA
ensembl:lncRNA